AGCAGCCGCGGUAAUUCCAGCUCCAAUAGCGUAUAUUAAAGUUGUUGCAGUUAAAAAGCUCGUAGUUGAAUUUCGGGAUCAAUACGUCGGUCGUGCUUCGGUACGUACUGGCGUAAUUGAUUUCUCCCUUCUGACGAACCAUGAUGUCAUUAACUUGGUGUCAUGGGAAAUCAGGACUGUUACUUUGAAAAAAUUAGAGUGUUUAAAGCAGGCUCACGCUUGAAUACAUUAGCAUGGAAUAAUGAAAUAGGACGUUCGAUCCUAUUUUGUUGGUUUUUAGGAUCAACGUAAUGAUUAAUAGGGAUAGUUGGGGGCAUUAGUAUUCAAUUGUCAGAGGUGAAAUUCUUGGAUUUAUUGAAGACUAACUACUGCGAAAGCAUUUGCCAAGGAUGUUUUCAUUAAUCAAGAACGAAAGUUAGGGGAUCGAAGACGAUCAGAUACCGUCGUAGUCUUAACCAUAAACUAUGCCGACUAGGGAUCGGAUGAUGUUAAUUUUUAAUG
rnacentral:misc_RNA from 1 species